AUGCCGGCGGGGGCGUUCUGCUCCGAGCCCGACCACGUCGAGGACGACGACGCCGCCACGCCGCCGGAGCACCUGCGCGCCUUCGAGGCGUUCCUGGAGGAGGUCGUGCCGGUGGGCAUGAUCAUGGCGUCGCGGCGGGAGGAGGAAGCGCGUCUCCGUCGUGGCGGGAAGCCGCGGAGCUACGACGACGACGUGAAGGAGAAGCUCAAGCUGUGGGCCAGGGCAGUGGCCAGGGAGACCACGGGAGGAAGGAGAUGA
rnacentral:rRNA from 1 species